UAUUGGGCGUAAGAGCUCGUAGGCGGCUUGUCAGUCGGAUGUGAAAGCCCGGGGCUUAACCCCGGGUCUGCGUCCGAUACUGUCAUGCUAGAGUGUGGUAGGGGAGAUCGGAAUUCCUGGUGUAGCGGUGAAAUGCGCAGAUAUCAGGAGGAACACCGGUGGCGAAGGCGGAUCUCUGGGCCAUUACUGACGCUAAGGAGCGAAAGCCUGGGGAGCGAACAGAAUUAGAUACCCUGGUAGUCCACGCCGUAAA
rnacentral:rRNA from 1 species